rnacentral:rRNA from 1 species
UACGUAGGCGGAUCAGAAAGUUAGGGGUGAAAUCCCGAGGCUCAACCCUGGAACUGCCUUAUAAACUCCUGGUCUUGAGUUCGAGAGAGGUGAGUGGAAUUCCAAGUGUAGAGGUGAAAUUCGUAGAUAUUUGGAGGAACACCAGUGGCGAAGGCGGCUCACUGGCUCGAUACUGACGCUGAGGUACGAAAGUGUGGGGAGCAAACAGGAUUAGAUACCCUGGUAGUCC